UUUCUCUGCAUCCUCACCAGCAUCUAUUUUUGCCUGAGUUGUUAAUUUUAGCCAUUCUGAGGUGUAAGGUGGUAUCUCGUGGUUUUGAUUUGUAUUUUUCUGAUGAUGAGUGACGUUGAGCAUCUUUUCAUGUGUCUGUUAGCCAUCUGGAUGUCUUCUUUGGAAAAGUGUCUAUUCAUGUCUUUUGCCUAUUUCUUCACAGGAUUAUUUGUUUUUUGGGUGUUGAUUUUGAUAAGUUAUUUAUAGGUUUUGGAUACUAACCCUUUAUCCAGUGUGUAAUUUGCAAAUAACUUCUCCCUUUCUGUCAGUUACCUUUUAGUUUUGUUGAUUGUUUCCUUCACUGUGUGGAAGCUUUUUAUCUUAAUGAGGUCCCAAUAGUUCAUUUUUGUUUUUAUUUCCCUUGCCUCCAGGGACACGUCUAGUAGGAAGUUGCAGCAGCUGAGGUCAAAGAAGUUGCUGCCUGUUUUCUCCUCUAGGAUUUUGAAGGUUUCCUGUCUCACAUUUAGGUCUUUAUCCAUUUUGAAUUUAUUUUUGUGUAUGGUGUAAAAAAGUGGUCCAGUUUCAUUCUUCUGCAUGUCGCUGUCCAGUUUUCCCAGCACCAUUUGCUGAAGAGGCUGUCUUUUUUUCCAUUGGAUAUUCUUUGCUGCUUUGUCAAAGAUUAGUUGGCUAUACAUUUGUGUGUCCAUUCCUGGUUUCUUUUUUCUGUUUUAUUGAUCUAUGUUUCUGUUUUUGUGCCAGGACCAUACUGUCUUGAUUAAAGCUUUGCAAUACAGCUUAAAGUCCUGAAUUGUGAUGGCUCCAGCUUUGGUUUUCUUUUUCAACAUUACUUUGGCUAUUUGGGUUUUUUUCUGGUUCCACACAAAUUUUAGGGUUGUUUGUUCUAGUUCUGUGAAGAAUUCUGGUGUUAUUUCGAUAGGGAUUGCAUUGAAUGUGUAAAUGGUUAUAAUUAAGCUUGUAAUACUAAACUAUGCAGAAAUGAAUGACCACCUAAAUACUUUUGUUUCUAUAUGAAUUUUUUUUUCAUAUUCCUAGAGAUGGAUAUGCAAGUUUUCAGUGAAUGCAAAUCAGGUGAGCCCACCCUGGAAGAGGAACUGUUAGUUUUCACUGCCAUCCCUGUCCUGUUAGCAUUGCCCACCUUAUCAAGCUGGAGAGGAAAAUGGAAAUAGCCCCAGAUGAGAAAGAAAUGAAGGGGCUUACGGAAGGACUCUCGCGCAGCUGAGCAAGUAUCCAGAGUGGCGGUGGGAUUACUUUAAGGUGGCUAUGAACCCAGAUGUUCACCAAGCAUUGUCCAUAAACCUAAACCAUAUAUAUAUCUCUAACACUGAUGCUGCUUCUUUCCCUGAAAAUAUAUGUAGAUGCUGCUGUAUCAUUGAUAAGAGGCCUGUGUACUAAAAGUGGUUAGGAGUUAUUGCACUGUCCUAAAGAGAUGCCUUUUUAAAACCAGAUUAGGUCUGUGCUGCAUAGCCCCAAUCCAGUUAGUGCAAACCAUGCUUUUCUCAGGUUAGAAUAAUGAGGAAGUGAUUAGGAUCAAAGAUGGUUUGAAUCUAUUACAUCACUUGCCAGUGAGCCUAGAUUCCACAUCCAAAAAAUAGGGAUAUGUUGACUGUGUACACAACAUUAUCACCCACUUCUUUUUUCUUGGCAGAAUGUGUCUGUUCCUUUCCCUCAAGACGCUGUCCCUACUGAAGAGCUAACUCAUGUUUAGCAUGAGCUAAGUACAUUGGCCCCAAUUCCUAUUGCCAGUGAUUGGUUUAGGAUGGGCAUAUGACUCAGUUCUGGACAAUAUGAUAAGAGAAGGGCUGGAGGGCUUUUGGAAAAUAUUCCUCCCUAAAUGGUAUCUCCUACAUUGGAAAGAACUGAUGUACAAUGACAAAUAUGUAAUGUCUAGAUCAGUGAUGAGAGCCACUUUCUAGAUGUCCUACCUAAUAAAAGCAAUUUAUCUUCUUCAAGUCAUCUCCUGAAUAAAUAUUGUAUGAAGUGUAUUUUCAAAGCCCUUUUCCUUGGAGCAAAUCAAAUUAUUUCCAUGUUUUUGCCCACUCCAAAACAAAAAUGAAUAACAGAAGAAAUGCUGAACAUGCCCCAAAUCAGAAUAUGUAAGGUUAACCUAAGAGGCU